rnacentral:rRNA from 1 species
CCCUUAGAUGUUCUGGGCCGCACGCGUGCUACACUGAGUGGAUCAGCGGGUCAGGUUGCGCGAAAGCGUUUCCUGAUCUUUAAAUCCGCUCGUGAUGGGGAUUGACGGUUGCAAUUUUCUGUCAUGAACGAGGAAUACCUUGUAAGCGCGGGUCAUCAUCCCGCGCUGAAUACGUCCCUGCCCUUUGUACACACCGCCCGUCGCUCCUACCGAUUGAGUGGUCCGGUGAGGCUUUGGGAUCUGAGCGGAAAGAGCGUUUCGCUGUUUCUGCUCGGAAAACUCAGUCGAACCUUAUCAUUUAGAGGAAGGAGAAGUCGUAACA